rnacentral:rRNA from 1 species
AUGGCCGAUCUCCUGUACCAAUCCAUCAUACUCUCCGUCGUCGCGGUGGUGCUACUCCAGGUCCUCAAGCUCCGCGUCCGGCCGAGGGCGAGGACGCCGCCGGGCCCGUGGAGGCUGCCGGUCAUCGGCAGCAUGCACCACCUCCUGAACGUGCUCCCGCACCGCGCCCUCAGGGACCUGGCGGCUGUGCACGGCCCGCUCAUGAUGCUCCAGCUAGGGCAGACCCCUCUGGUGGUGGUGUCGUCGCGGGAGAUGGCCCGCGAGGUGCUCAGGACGCACGACGCCAGCUUCGCCACCCGCCCCAAGCUCCUCGUCGGCGAGGUCGUCCUCUACAGCUACACCGACAUCCUCUUCUCGCCCUCCGGCACCUACUGGCGCAAGCUCCGGCAGCUCUGCGCCGCCGAGAUACUCAGCCCGAGCCGCGUCCUCUCCUUCCGCCACAUCAGGGAGCAGGAGGUGAAGAAUCAGGUAGAAGACAUCCAUGGGGUCGGGCCAUCGACGCCGGUGGACGCCACCGCGAUUUUCUCCGGCCUAGCAAUCAGCAUCAUCUCCCGCGCGUCCUUCGGGAACAAGCAGAGGAACGCACGGGAGUUCCUGUCGGCGGUCAAGACCGGGGUCACGCUCGCCAGCGGCUUCAAGAUCCCCGACCUCUUCCCGGCAUGGCGGUCCGUGCUCGCCAGGGCGACCGGCAUGCGCCGCGCCUUGGAGGACGUCCACGGGACGAUCGACUCAAGCCUGGACGAGGUCAUAGCAGAGAGGAAAUGCGUCCGGCAGGACAAGGCCAGGUCCGGCGGCGCGCCGGCCGCCGUCGAGGAGAACCUCGUCGACGUUCUCAUCGGCCUGCAGGAGAAAGGCGGGCCGCUGCACCGCCUGAGCACCAACAGCAUCAAGGGCGUCAUAGUCGACAUGUUCGUGGCCGGGACCGGCACGAUAUCGUCGUCGCUGGACUGGGGCAUGGCGGAGCUGAUGCGGAGCCCGAGGGUGAUGGGCAAGCUACAGCGCGAGCUCCGAGAGGCUUUUCCCGGCAGGACGGCCAUCAGCGAGCGCGACAUCGAUGCAGGCAGCCUCCCCUACCUGAAGCUCGUCAUCAAAGAGAACCUCCGGCUGCACCCGCCGGCGCCGCUCCUGGUCCCCCGGGAGAGCAUCCACGCAUGCGAGCUCGGCGGGUACGUGAUUCCGGCGGGCUCGCGCGUCAUCGUGAACGCGUGGGCCAUCGGGAGGGAUCCGAGGUACUGGGGGGACGACGCCGAGGAGUUCAAGCCCGAGCGUUUUGCGGACAGCUCCGUCGAUUUCACGGGGAGCAGCUACGAGUUCCUGCCGUUCGGGGCUGGCCGGAGGAUGUGCCCCGGCGUCUCGUACAGCCUCCCCUUCCUGCAGAUGGCGCUCGUGCAGCUCUGCUACCACUUUGACUGGUCUCUGCCAGAGGGCGUCGCCGUGGUGGACAUGACGGAGGCGGAUGGCCUCGGCCUACGCCGUAAGUCGCCGUUGCGGCUCUGUGCCACACCAUUCGUCCCCGAGUCUGCGUGUUAA